AACCGAGAACUCCUACGGGAGGCAGCAGUGGGGAAUAUUGCGCAAUGGGGGCAACCCUGACGCAGCCAUGCCGCGUGUGUGAAGAAGGCCUUCGGGUUGUAAAGCACUUUCAAUGGGGAAGAAAAUCGUAGCGUUAAUAGCGUUGCGCCGUGACGUUACCCAUAGAAGAAGCACCGGCUAACUCCGUGCCAGCAGCCGCGGUGAUACGGAGGGUGCGAGCGUUAAUCGGAAUUACUAGGCGUAAAGCGCGCGUAGGCGGUUUGUUAAGUCAGCUGUGAAAGCCCCGGGCUUAACCUGGGAACUGCAGUUGAUACUGGCCGACUAGAGUACGAGAGAGGGAGGUAGAAUUCCAUGUGUAGCGGUGAAAUGCGUAGAUAUAUGGAGGAAUACCGGUGGCGAAGGCGGCCUCCUGGCUCGAUACUGACGCUGAGGUGCGAAAGCGUGGGGAUCAAACAGGAUUAGAAACCCCAGUAGUCCGACUGAGA
rnacentral:rRNA from 1 species